rnacentral:rRNA from 1 species
UACGUAGGGUGCAAGCGUUGUCCGGAAUUAUUGGGCGUAAAGAGCUCGUAGGCGGUCUGUCGCGUCGGCUGUGAAAACCCGGAGCUCAACUCCGGGCCUGCAGUCGAUACGGGCAGACUGGAGUUCGGCAGGGGAGACUGGAAUUCCUGGUGUAGCGGUGAAAUGCGCAGAUAUCAGGAGGAACACCGGUGGCGAAGGCGGGUCUCUGGGCCGAUACUGACGCUCAUGCACGAAAGCGUGGGGAGCAAACAGG